UUGGCUGGCGAGGCCGGAGCUGCUGCAGGGCUGCGCGCUGGGCGGCGGCGGCGGCGGCGGCGGCGGCGGCGGCGACAACAACGACGACGACGACGACGACUACAAUGGAACUUCUGUGUGUGUGUGUGUGUGCAGCUGCCGCCGCCGCCUCCCGCGGGGAUCCGGGGAGGGAAAGUAGGAGGAGCAGGCACCCCCCUUUAUUUCCCCCCCCCUCUCUCCCCCCUCCCCCCCCGCAAGAGCCUCCUCCCCUCUUCCAAAAGUAACGGGCGAGAAGUGAGCGGCCGCACGCCUCCCCGCCCAUUCCGACCCCUGCCUUGGCCUUUUCUUGCCUUUGUUUUCUUUUGAUUUGUUUUCAAAAUAAGUCCCUCUUCUCUUCUAGACCCCUAUCCUAUCUCAUCCCUCCCGUAAUAACCUCCACUUUUCCCUCACUUUCCCCAUUCCUUCCUCCGCUCACUCCCCUUACAGCAAAGAGAGAAGGGGAAUCCCGGCCUACUUCCUUUUCCGGAUGGGGGCGACCUCUUUGUGCGAACCAGGGAGCGUGACCCGCACAUCUGGCGCACAUCUGGGGAUGCGGCUGCGAAAGGGAGCGCGGCGGCGGCGGCUGAGGAGGAGGAGGUGGAGACGACGGAGCUUCGGGGCGGGUGGGAGGCCCUGGCAGUGUGCCGAGAGAAAGAAACUUCUCUUCCGAGACUGAAUCGAAUCUCCUCCCGAGAGUAAAAGAUUAAUGCAGAUUCUCCUGCUGCUGCUGCCCUCCCUCUUCUCCCUCCCUUCCUCGACCACUCCUUCCCUUCCUCUGAUUUAGCGUCCCCCUCUCCCCCCACCGGCAAGUGGAGGAUGCAACCGAUUUCCAUCCCUUGUUAAGGUUGUCUGAGCCCCCCUGCAGGAGGAGGGGCUUGCAAGGACUUUAGGGACUCUCCGGAUGCGGAGACCUUCUGGCUCUGAACAAUCCUGUUGAGCCGGCAGGAGGGGGAGCUUUUUUGGUGCCUGCACACAUGGCAGGCAGGCAGGGGACUUGCUGUGCCUUCUAGGAAAUUGCAAUCGAUUUGUAAAGCAGUUUCGCUAAUUGGGAGUUCAAAAUUAAACUUUAAUAAAGCGUUUGUCUCGUCUUC